CACUAGUGGCGGACGGGUGAGUAACGCGUGGGAACAUACCCCUUUCUUCGGAAUAGCCUCGGGAAACUGGGAGUAAUACCGGAUACGCUCGCAAGAGGAAAGAUUUAUCGGUAAGGGAUUGGCCCGCGUUGGAUUAGGUAGUUGGUGGGGUAAUGGCCUACCAAGCCGACGAUCCAUAGCUGGUUUGAGAGGAUGAUCAGCCACACUGGGACUGAGACACGGCCCAGACUCCUACGGGAGACAGCAGUGGGGAAUCUUAGACAAUGGGGGAAACCCUGAUCUAGCCAUGCCGCGUGAUCGAUGAAGGCCUUAGGGUUGUAAAGAUCUUUCAGAUGGGAAGAUAAUGACGGUACCAUCAGAAGAAGCCCCGGCUAACUCCGUGCCAGCAGCCGCGGUAAUACGGAGGGGGCUAGCGUUAUUCGGAAUUACUGGGCGUAAAGCGCACGUAGGCGGACUUGAAAGUUGGGGGUGAAAGCCCAGGGCUCAACCCUGGAACUGCCCUCAAAA
rnacentral:rRNA from 1 species